AGCAAACAGGAUUAGAUACCCUGGUAGUCCACGCCGUAAACGAUGUCGACUUGGAGGUUGUGCCCUUGAGGCGUGGCUUCCGGAGCUAACGCGUUAAGUCGACCGCCUGGGGAGUACGGCCGCAAGGUUAAAACUCAAAUGAAUUGACGGGGGCCCGCACAAGCGGUGGAGCAUGUGGUUUAAUUCGAUGCAACGCGAAGAACCUUACCUGGUCUUGACAUCCACGGAAGUUUCCAGAGAUGAGAAUGUGCCUUCGGGAACCGUGAGACAGGUGCUGCAUGGCUGUCGUCAGCUCGUGUUGUGAAAUGUUGGGUUAAGUCCCGCAACGAGCGCAACCCUUAUCCUUUGUUGCCAGCGGUCCGGCCGGGAACUCAAAGGAGACUGCCAGUGAUAAACUGGAGGAAGGUGGGGAUGACGUCAAGUCAUCAUGGCCCUUACGACCAGGGCUACACACGUGCUACAAUGGCGCAUACAAAGAGAAGCGACCUCGCGAGAGCAAGCGGACCUCAUAAAGUGCGUCGUAGUCCGGAUUGGAGUCUGCAACUCGACUCCAUGAAGUCGGAAUCGCUAGUAAUCGUGGAUCAGAAUGCCACGGUGAAUACGUUCCCGGGCCUUGUACACACCGCCCGUCACACCAUGGGAGUGGGUUGCAAAAGAAGUAGGUAGCUUAACCUUC
rnacentral:rRNA from 1 species